CUGAGCUGCAGAAAGCUGGACU
rnacentral:miRNA from 1 species